AGCGGGGUAGGGAAGCUAGGAGUACCCGAUGAAUUGGAUAAAUAAAAUUUAUCUUAUGCGGAAGGCUCAUAAGACUCUUAGUAUGUCCUUGGACACCCAUAGAUCGGAGGUUCAAAUCCUCCCCCCGCUA
rnacentral:tRNA from 1 species